ACUAAGCGUACACGGUGGAUGCCCUGGCAGUCAGAGGCGAUGAAGGACGUGCUAAUCUGCGAAAAGCGUCGGUAAGGUGAUAUGAACCGUUAUAACCGGCGAUGUCCGAAUGGGGAAACCCAGUGCAAUUCGUUGCACUAUCGUUAACUGAAUACAUAGGUUAACGAGGCGAACCGGGGGAACUGAAACAUCUAAGUACCCCGAGGAAAAGAAAUCAACCGAGAUUCCCCCAGUAGCGGCGAGCGAACGGGGAGCAGCCCAGAGUCUGAAUCAGCUUGUGUGUUAGUGGAACGGUCUGGAAAGUCCGACGGUACAGGGUGAUAGUCCCGUACACCAAAAUGCACAGGCUGUGAACUCGAAGAGUAGGGCGGGACACGUGGUAUCCUGUCUGAAUAUGGGGGGACCAUCCUCCAAGGCUAAAUACUCCUGACUGACCGAUAGUGAACCAGUACCGUGAGGGAAAGGCGAAAAGAACCCCGGCGAGGGGAGUGAAAAAGAACCUGAAACCGUGUACGUACAAGCAGUGGGAGCACCUUCGGGUGUGACUGCGUACCUUUUGUAUAAUGGGUCAGCGACUUAUAUUCUGUAGCAAGGUUAACCGUAUAGGGGAGCCGCAGGGAAACCGAGUCUUAACUGGGCGUUAAGUUGCAGGGUAUAGACCCGAAACCCGGUGAUCUAGCCAUGGGCAGGUUGAAGGUUGGGUAACACUAACUGGAGGACCGAACCGACUAAUGUUGAAAAAUUAGCGGAUGACUUGUGGCUGGGGGUGAAAGGCCAAUCAAACCGGGAGAUAGCUGGUUCUCCCCGAAAGCUAUUUAGGUAGCGCCUCGUGAAUUCAUCUUCGGGGGUAGAGCACUGUUUCGGCUAGGGGGUCAUCCCGACUUACCAACCCGAUGCAAACUACGAAUACCGAAGAAUGUUAUCACGGGAGACACACGGCGGGUGCUAACGUCCGUCGUGAAGAGGGAAACAACCCAGACCGCCAGCUAAGGUCCCAAAGUCAUGGUUAAGUGGGAAACGAUGUGGGAAGGCACAGACAGCCAGGAUGUUGGCUUAGAAGCAGCCAUCAUUUAAAGAAAGCGUAAUAGCUCACUGGUCGAGUCGGCCUGCGCGGAAGAUGUAACGGGGCUAAACCAUGCACCGAAGCUGCGGCAGCGACACUAUGUGUUGUUGGGUAGGGGAGCGUUCUGUAAGCCUGCGAAGGUGACCUGUGAGGGUUGCUGGAGGUAUCAGAAGUGCGAAUGCUGACAUAAGUAACGAUAAAGCGGGUGAAAAGCCCGCUCGCCGGAAGACCAAGGGUUCCUGUCCAACGUUAAUCGGGGCAGGGUGAGUCGACCCCUAAGGCGAGGCCGAAAGGCGUAGUCGAUGGGAAACAGGUUAAUAUUCCUGUACUUGGUGUUACUGCGAAGGGGGGACGGAGAAGGCUAUGUUAGCCGGGCGACGGUUGUCCCGGUUUAAGCAUGUAGGCUGGUUAUCCAGGCAAAUCCGGAUAAUCAAGGCUGAGGUGUGAUGACGAGGCACUACGGUGCUGAAGUAACAAAUGCCCUGCUUCCAGGAAAAGCCUCUAAGCAUCAGGUAACAUUAAAUCGUACCCCAAACCGACACAGGUGGUCAGGUAGAGAAUACCAAGGCGCUUGAGAGAACUCGGGUGAAGGAACUAGGCAAAAUGGUGCCGUAACUUCGGGAGAAGGCACGCUGGUGUGUAGGUGAAGUCCCUGCGGAUGGAGCUGAGACCAGUCGAAGAUACCAGCUGGCUGCAACUGUUUAUUAAAAACACAGCACUGUGCAAACACGAAAGUGGACGUAUACGGUGUGACGCCUGCCCGGUGCCGGAAGGUUAAUUGAUGGGGUUAUCCGUAAGGAGAAGCUCUUGAUCGAAGCCCCGGUAAACGGCGGCCGUAACUAUAACGGUCCUAAGGUAGCGAAAUUCCUUGUCGGGUAAGUUCCGACCUGCACGAAUGGCGUAAUGAUGGCCAGGCUGUCUCCACCCGAGACUCAGUGAAAUUGAACUCGCUGUGAAGAUGCAGUGUACCCGCGGCAAGACGGAAAGACCCCGUGAACCUUUACUAUAGCUUGACACUGAACAUUGAGCCUUGAUGUGUAGGAUAGGUGGGAGGCUUUGAAGCGUGGACGCCAGUCUGCGUGGAGCCAACCUUGAAAUACCACCCUUUAAUGUUUGAUGUUCUAACGUUGGCCCCUUAUCGGGGUUGCGGACAGUGUCUGGUGGGUAGUUUGACUGGGGCGGUCUCCUCCCAAAGCGUAACGGAGGAGCACGAAGGUUAGCUAAUCCUGGUCGGACAUCAGGAGGUUAGUGCAAUGGCAUAAGCUAGCUUGACUGCGAGCGUGACGGCGCGAGCAGGUGCGAAAGCAGGUCAUAGUGAUCCGGUGGUUCUGAAUGGAAGGGCCAUCGCUCAACGGAUAAAAGGUACUCCGGGGAUAACAGGCUGAUACCGCCCAAGAGUUCAUAUCGACGGCGGUGUUUGGCACCUCGAUGUCGGCUCAUCACAUCCUGGGGCUGAAGUAGGUCCCAAGGGUAUGGCUGUUCGCCAUUUAAAGUGGUACGCGAGCUGGGUUUAGAACGUCGUGAGACAGUUCGGUCCCUAUCUGCCGUGGGCGCUGGAGAAUUGAGGGGGGCUGCUCCUAGUACGAGAGGACCGGAGUGGACGCAUCACUGGUGUUCGGGUUGUCAUGCCAAUGGCACUGCCCGGUAGCUAAAUGCGGAAGAGAUAAGUGCUGAAAGCAUCUAAGCACGAAACUUGCCCCGAGAUGAGUUCUCCCUGAGACUUUAAGUCUCCUGAAGGAACGUUGAAGACGACGACGUUGAUAGGCCGGGUGUGUAAGCGCAGCGAUGCGUUGAGCUAACCGGUACUAAUGAACCGUGAGGCUUAACC
rnacentral:rRNA from 1 species